GUGAGGAAUAUUGCGCAAUGGAGGCAACUCUGACGCAGCCAUGCCGCGUGCAGGAAGAAGGCGCUACGCGUUGUAAACUGCUUUUAACCGGGAAGAAACCCCAGGACGUGUCCUGGGUUGACGGUACCGGAGGAAUAAGCACCGGCUAACUUCGUGCCAGCAGCCGCGGUAAUACGAAGGGUGCAAGCGUUAUCCGGAUUCCUUGGGUUUAAAGGGUGCGUAGGCGGAGCGUUAAGUCAGUGGUGAAAUCCUGCAGCUUAACUGUAGACUUGCCAUUGAUACUGGCGCUCUUGAGUGCGCUUGAAGUGGGCGGAAUGUGCCGUGUAGCGGUGAAAUGCUUAGAUAUGGCACAGAAGACCAAUUGCGAAGGCAGCUCACUAAGGCGAUACUGACGCUGAGGCACGAAAGAGUGGGGAUCGAACAGGAUUAGAUACCCGGGUAGUCC
rnacentral:rRNA from 1 species